rnacentral:rRNA from 1 species
CCUACGGGCGGCAGCAGUGAGGAAUAUUGGUCAAUGGACGGAAGUCUGAACCAGCCAUGCCGCGUGCAGGAAGACGGCUCUAUGAGUUGUAAACUGCUUUUAUACAAGGGUAAACCUGAAUACGUGUAUUCAGCUGAAAGUACUUUACGAAUAAGGAUCGGCUAACUCCGUGCCAGCAGCCGCGGUAAUACGGAGGAUCCAAGCGUUAUCCGGAUUUAUUGGGUUUAAAGGGUGCGUAGGUGGAUUGAUAAGUUAGAGGUGAAAUGUCGGGGCUCAACUCUGGAACUGCCUCUAAUACUGUUGACCUAGAGAGUAGAUGAGGUAGGCGGAAUGUAUGGUGUAGCGGUGAAAUGCUUAGAGAUCAUACAGAACACCGAUUGCGAAGGCAGCUUACCAAUCUAUCUCUGACGUUGAGGCACGAAAGCGUGGGUAGCAAACAGGAUUAGAUACCCGUGUAGUC